rnacentral:rRNA from 1 species
GAGACAGUAGUACUUCGGCGGGGGAUAGCCGGCCCAACGGCCGGGUAAUACCGCGUACGACCUCUUGGGGACAUCCCCGAGUGGUGAAAGCAGCAAUGCACCGAAAGAGUGCCUCGCGGCCUAUCAGCUAGUUGGUGAGGUAACGGCUCACCAAGGCAACGACGGGUAGCUGGUCUGAGAGGAUGGCCAGCCACAUUGGGACUGAGACACGGCCCAG